rnacentral:rRNA from 1 species
CACGAACGCUGGCGGCAGGCUUAACACAUGCAAGUCGAGCGCCCCGCAAGGGGAGCGGCAGACGGGUGAGUAACGCGUGGGAAUCUACCCAUCUCUACGGAAUAACGCAUGGAAACGUGUGCUAAUACCGUAUACGUCCUUCGGGAGAAAGAUUUAUCGGAGAUGGAUGAGCCCGCGUUGGAUUAGCUAGUUGGUGGGGUAAAGGCCUACCAAGGCGACGAUCCAUAGCUGGUCUGAGAGGAUGAUCAGCCACACUGUGACUGAGACACGGCCCAGACUCCUACGGGAGGCAGCAGUGGGGAAUAUUGGACAAUGGGCGCAAGCCUGAUCCAGCCAUGCCGCGUGAGUGAUGAAGGCCCUAGGGUUGUAAAGCUCUUUCACCGGUGAAGGUAAUGACGGUAACCGGAGAAGAAGCCCCGGCUAACUUCGUGCCAGCAGCCGCGGUAACAC